CCCUUAGAUGUUCUGGGCCGCACGCGCGCUACACUGAUGCAUUCAACGAGUUUCUUCCUGGUCCGAGAGGAAUGGGUAACCUUUUGAAAGUGCAUCGUGAUAGGGAUAGACUAUUGCAAUUAUUGGUCUUCAACGAGGAAUUCCUAGUAGACGUAGUUCAUCAGACUGCAUCGAUUACGCCCCUGCCCUUUGUACACACCGCCCGUCGCUCCUACCGAUUGAAUGCUCAGGUGAGCCAUUCGGACUUUCAUCAUGCUGGUUUCCAGUUUUGAUGAAGGAAAGUCUUGCGAACCUUAUCAUUUAGAGGAGGGAGAAGUCGUAACA
rnacentral:rRNA from 1 species